ACAGGGUAGCAAUACCGCUGACGAGUGGCGCACGGGUGCGUAACACGUACACAAUCUGCCUUAUACUGGAGCAUACCCCCAAGAAAUUGGGACUAAUUCUCCAUAAUAUAUUUGAAUGGCAUCAUUUGAAUAUUAAAACUCCGGUGGUAUAAGAUGAGUGUGCGUCCGAUUAGGUAGUUGGUGAGGUAACGGCUCACCAAGCCAACGAUCGGUAGCUGGUCUGAGAGGACGAUCAGCCACACGGGCACUGAGACACGGGCCCGACUCCUACGGGAGGCAGCAGUAGGGAAUAUUGGACAAUGGGCGCAAGCCUGAUCCAGCCAUCCCGCGUGAAGGAUUAAGGCCCUCUGGGUUGUAAACUUCUUUUCUCUGGGAAUAAAAAGUGGAAUUCUUUCCGCCUUGAAGGUACCAGAGGAAUAAGCACCGGCUAACUCCGUGCCAGCAGCCGCGGUAAUACGGAGGGUGCAAGCGUUAUCCGGAUUCACUGGGUUUAAAGGGAGCGUAGGUGGCUUUGUAAGUCAGUGGUGAAAUGCCGCAGCUCAACUGCGGAACUGCCAUUGAUACUGCUUAGCUUGAAUCACGUCGAGGUGGAUGGAAUAAUACAUGUAGCGGUGAAAUGCUUAGAUAUGUAUUAGAACACCGAUUGCGAAGGCAGUUCACUAGGCGUGUAUUGACACUGAGGCUCGAAAGCGUGGGGAUCAAACAGGAUUAGAUACCCUGGUAGUCCACGCCCUAAACGAUGUAAACUCGACAUUAGCGAUAUACUGUUA
rnacentral:rRNA from 1 species